CCUACGGGUGGCAGCAGUGAGGAAUAUUGGUCAAUGCUCGUAAGCCUGACCCAGCCAAGCCGCGUGAGGGAUGAAGGUUCUAUGGACCGUAAAUCUCUUUUAUAAGGGAAUAAAGUGUGGGAAGUAUCCUAUUUUGUAUGUACCUUAUGAAUAAGGAUCGGCUAACUCAGUGCCAGCAGCCGCGGUAAUACGGAGGAUACGAGCGUUAUCCGGAUUGAUUGGGUUGAAGGGGUGCGUAGGCGGCCUUUUAAGUCAGCAGUGAAAGACUAUGGCUGAACCAUAGAAUGGCCGUUGAUACUGGGGGGCUUGAGGAUCUUUGAGGAAGGCAGAAUGCGUGGUGUAGCGGUGAAAUGCUUAGAUAUCAGGAAGAACCCCGAUUGCGAAGGCAGCCAGCCAAGCCAUGACUGACGCUGAUGUGCGAAAGCGUGGGGAUCAAACAGGAUUAGAUACCCGAGUAGUC
rnacentral:rRNA from 1 species